rnacentral:rRNA from 1 species
CCCUUAGAUGUUCUGGGCUGUACGCGCGCUACACUGAUGCGAUCAACAAGUUUUUCCUAUGUCGAUAGACACGGGUAAUCUUUUGAACUCGCAUCGUGAUGGGGAUAGAUUAUUGUAAUUAUUAAUCUUCAACGAGGAAUUCCUAGUAGGUGCAAAUCAUCAGUUUGCAUCGAUUACGUCCCUGCCCUUUGUACACACCGCCCGUCGCUGCUACCGAUUGGUUGAUCUGGUGAAUUAUUCGGACUGCCGGCUGAAGGGGUUUCCUCAUCUGCCAGCGGAAAGUCUUGUUAACCCUAUCAACUAGAGGAAGCAGAAGUCGUAACA